GAUGAAGAACGCAGCAAAAUGCGAUAAGUAAUGUGAAUUGCAGAAUUCAGUGAAUCAUCGAAUCUUUGAACGCACAUUGCGCCCGCCAGUAUUCUGGCGGGCAUGCCUGUUCGAGCGUCAUUUCAACACUCAAGCACAGCUUGGUGUUGGGACUCGCGUUAAUUCGCGUUCCCCAAAUUGAUUGGCGGUCACGUCGAGCUUCCAUAGCGUAGUAGUAAAACCCUCGUUACUGGUAAUCGUCGCGGCCACGCCGUUAAACCCCAACUUCUGAAUGUUGACCUCGGAUCAGGUAGGAAUACCCGCUGAACUUAAGCAUAUCAAUAAGCGGAGGA
rnacentral:misc_RNA from 1 species